UGAGUUCGAGCUACGGUUCGACGUUGAAAACCAUACUUGAUGGUGCUCAAGGCAAACGAGGCGCUUGGUAAAGGAUGAGACCAUGCAAAGUGGAAUGGGUUGCUCAGUGACCGAAAGAGAUAUGCAAAGCUCACAGAGGUAAGGGGAAUUACUAACUCGAAGAAUUUGAUACUCACGCAAGGGCUUGUAUGCGGAUGAUGGAAUGUUCAUGGUCAUCCUAAGGCGACCGAAACUCAAUGCCAUGGAGCAUUAAAACUUUAUCUUCGGCAUGUGAAGGAUAUGUUAGUAGGAGGCUGAAGUGUGUAGCGAGUUCAAUAUGUUGCUAGGCCUUAAGUGCUGUAGCG
rnacentral:lncRNA from 1 species